AGAAAUGGAUCUGGAAUCCGAUCCCGCUGGAGCGGCCGAGAAACUCGACCACCAGCACGAUCUUCCAU
rnacentral:sRNA from 1 species